UACGUAGGGGGCGAGCGUUGUCCGGAAUUACUGGGCGUAAAGAGCGUGUAGGCGGGUCUUUAAGUCAGCUGUGAAAACUAUCGGCUCAACCGGUAGACUGCAGUUGAUACUGGAAAUCUUGAGGGUAUGAGAGGGCAGUGGAAUUCCUAGUGUAGCGGUGAAAUGCGUAGAUAUUAGGAGGAACACCAGUGGCGAAGGCGACUGCCUGGCAUACAACUGACGCUGAGACGCGAAAGCGUGGGGAGCAAACAGG
rnacentral:misc_RNA from 1 species